AUGCAGAUGUUUCGCUGAGAAGGAAAGAUGCAACAUAACAGCCCUUUAGACUUUAGAGACAGAGUGAACACAGGCCCUUCAGUCCAUCGAGUCUGCGCCGACCAGCGAUCGCCCAGCAACCUAGCACUAUCCUACACACUAGGAAUUACAAUCUUACCAAAGUCAAUUAACCCACAAACUUGUAUGUCUUUAGUGCGUGGGUGGAAGCCGGAGCAGCUGGAGAAAACCCAUGCGGUCACAGGGAGAACAUGCAACCUCCACACAGACAGCACUAGAGAUGGUCACGGAGUUGGAAUAAGAAUCGCUCACACUCCUAUCGUCUGGCUCGAGAUGCUGCCUGACCCGCUGAGUUACUCCAGGUUUUUGUGUCCAUCUUCGGUUUAAACCAACAUCGCGAAGCUGUGAUUCGCAGAGCUCCCAGCGCGGGCGGCGAUGAACAACACCGCGGAGUCCCUGGGGCCCUAUGCCGAGGGCCGUCAGCGUGAAUCUCUGCCCGGCGCGGCCUGGGGACUUCGGGAGCCGCGGACUCCGGUGGGUAGCGGCCGCUUCGGAGGUCCAAGCCGCUGAGGUAGGCCUCCCGUUCCUACGUCGGAGUUCCAUCAUCCCAGCGAGUGGGCCUGAGCGGCAGGCCGCCCGCAGCGGCAACUGCGGAGGUCUCCGGAAGCCCCUCACAGUGGGAAACCUUUGGAUUCUGCUGUAUGGGGAUGUUUUAUGUUGGACUCUAUUGUGUGUUGUGUUCUUUAUUUUAAUGUAUGGCUGUAUGUGCAAAAACAAAUUUCAAACCUUGGUCUGACAGUAAAGUGCCAUCGUAUCGUAUCGUAUCUGCACUAUUCUGUAGCACUAUUCCCACACUAUUCCUACACUGUUCCACUAUUCCAACACUGUUGGUUCUGCAUUCAGAAUUUAUAACAAGACCAUGUCGGGGUAGUUUUUCGCCAUUCUGCCUUGCAUUUGUACAUAGUUAUGUAAAUAAUUGAUGUAACUAUGGAAUAUGAUGACAUCAUCAUGAUAUGUGAUUUUUUAGUUGUUAAUAAAUGUUGUUGGUAUGU